AAGAGUGCAGAACAUAUUUCUAUCUCCCCCUCAUAAAGACAAUUAUAUAUGAGACGAAGAAAAUCAAAUAAUCUUAUGUAGUUGUAGUAGUUGCUCAAAAGUUUUACUUGAAGCUGACUUUGUAGAAAGACAUGUCUUAUCUUCUUUAUCAUAUAAUCUUCUCCAAAUAUGUAGUUUGUGCGACAUUAUCUUCAUAUUGAAUCGUUGCAAGAACCCUUUAGAAGAAAACUCACAAACUCUUGUAUCUGAUGAAUGACACACUUCA
rnacentral:lncRNA from 1 species